UGGGGAAUAUUGGGCAAUGGGCGAAAGCCUGACCCAGCAACGCCGCGUGAGUGAUGAAGGCCUUCGGGUUGUAAAACUCUUUGGACAGGGACGAAGAAAGUGACGGUACCUGUAGAACAAGCCACGGCUAACUACGUGCCAGCAGCCGCGGUAAUACGUAGGUGGCGAGCGUUAUCCGGAUUUAUUGGGUUUAAAGGGAGCGCAGGCCGCCCGAUAAGCGUGUUGUGAAAUGUACCGGCUCAACCGGUGAGUUGCAGCGCGAACUGUCAGGCUUGAGUGCACGGUAAGCAGGCGGAAUUCAUGGUGUAGCGGUGAAAUGCUUAGAUAUCAUGAGGAACUCCGAUUGCGAAGGCAGCUUGCUGCAGUGCGACUGACGCUUAGGCUCGAAGGUGCGGGUAUCAAACAGG
rnacentral:rRNA from 1 species